rnacentral:lncRNA from 1 species
AAAAAUAAAAAUAAAAUAAAAAUGUGGAUAAAACAUAAUGAAAUAAAAUAAAUAGAACGCAGUAUAAUAAAACAGAACGAAAUUUGUUUUUUUUUAAUUACCAAUUUCAUAGAAAAAAAAAAAAAAAUGGAAUGUUUUACAAUCUUUUUUUGUUUUUUUUUUGUAUGUUAAUUUUUAAAUGUGUUCAAGUUUGCUUUCUUAUUUUUUAUUUUUCAUUUUUUUUUUUUUGUUAAUAAAUUUGUUAUUAAACGAAGGUUUGUAGUCUGUAUGCACACAUACGUACGUACGUGCAUACUUACAUGCUAUAUGCAACAUAAAUAUAUAUAUAUAUAUAUUUACGUACGGUUACAUUUCUCUCCGUUUUUGUGUGUACUCAUGUUAAACCUUACGUUUUGACAACAUAUUUGUUUUUAGUUAGUAAAACGUAUCUUCAUGAGUGAAUCCAUAAUUGUUUUAUACCACUCAUAAUUUUUUAAAAGAAAAAACUAUAAAAAAAAAAAUCAAAAUUUAAAUAAUAUUUUAGAUUUUAAAAGCAUAAAUGACUUACAAGAAAAUGCACAUAUAAAGACAACCAAAGACUUUGUUCUUUAUGUGUAUGCAAAAUGGGAUAACGAUUCGAAUAAUUUAAUAGCCGUUUUUAGAGAAGUAGAAAGAAUAAUAAAAGAAAAGAACUUAAAGUUAGAUUUUUAUAUAUUUAACAUAGAAAAUGCUAAAGAUUUAUGUAAUGCAUUAAACAUCACGUCACUCCCCUUGAUACUAUAUAUCUCUUCGGGGCAUAAAAAAAAAAAAAAUUCAUUAUUUCAGAGGAUUUUUAGUUCCAGUAAAGAUGUGAAAAUAAACAAUGCCUUUAGGUAAAACGAUAAGAAAAAAAUAUCAUAAAUAAUUAGCAAUAAUUAACAAUAAUUAGCAAUAAUUAGCAAAAUUUUUAUGAAUAAAAUUACCACAAUU